UGGGGAAUUGUUCGCAAUGGGCGCAAGCCUGACGACGCAACGCCGCGUGGAGGAUGAAGAUCUUCGGGUCGUAAACUCCUUUCGAUCGAGACGAAUUCCUCCGGGGUGAACAAUCCCGGAGGUUGACGGUACCGAGAGAAGAAGCCCCGGCUAACUCCGUGCCAGCAGCCGCGGUAAUACGGGGGGGGCAAGCGUUGUUCGGAAUUACUGGGCGUAAAGGGCUCGUAGGUGGCCAACUAAGUCAGACGUGAAAUCCCUCGGCUUAACCGGGGAACUGCGUCUGAUACUGGUUGGCUGGAGUUUGGGAGAGGGAUGCGGAAUUCCAGGUGUAGCGGUGAAAUGCGUAGAUAUCUGGAGGAACACCGGUGGCGAAGGCGGCAUCCUGGACCAACACUGACGCUGAGGAGCGAAAGCCAGGGGAGCAAACGGG
rnacentral:rRNA from 1 species